GAUGAACGCUGGCGGCGUGCCUAAUACAUGCAAGUCGUACGGAAAGGCCCUUCGGGGUACUCGAGUGGCGGACGGCUGAGUAACGCGUGGGAACGUGCCCCAAAGUGAGGGAUAACGCACCGAAAGGUGUGCUAAUACCGCAUAUGGUCUUCGGAUUAAAGCUUCGGCGCUUUGGGAGCGGCCCGCGUAUGAUUAGAUAGUUGGUGAGGUAAUGGCUCACCAAGUCGACGAUCGUUAGCUGGUCUGAGAGGAUAAUCAGCCAGACUGGGACUGAGACACGGCCCAGACUCCUACGGGAGGCAGCAGUAAGGAAUCUUCCACAAUGGGGGCAACCCUGAUGGAGCAACGCCGCGUGCAGGAUGAAGGUUUUCGGAUCGUAAACUGCUUUUAUAAGUGAAGAAUAUGACGGUAACUUAUGAAUAAGGAUCGGCUAACUACGUGCCAGCCGCCGCUGUAAGAC
rnacentral:rRNA from 1 species